rnacentral:rRNA from 1 species
AACGUCCGUCGUGAAGAGGGAAACAACCCAGACCGCCAGCUAAGGUCCCAAAGUCAUGGUUAAGUGGGAAACGAUGUGGGAAGGCCCAGACAGCCAGGAUGUUGGCUUAGAAGCAGCCAUCAUUUAAAGAAAGCGUAAUAGCUCACUGGUCGAGUCGGCCUGCGCGGAAGAUGUAACGGGGCUAAACCAUGCACCGAAGCUGCGGCAGCGAACGUAUCACCCAAGACAACUUUACGGAGUUGACGAUUGACGGAGCGAAGCGACGUCAAAGCGUUCAUUAAAGUCGAGUUGGCUUAGGGAUACGUUCGUUGGGUAGGGGAGCGUUCUGUAAGCCUGUGAAGGUGUGUCGUGAGGCAUGCUGGAGGUAUCAGAAGUGCGAAUGCUGACAUAAGUAACGAUAAAGCGGGUGAAAAGCCCGCUCGCCGGAAGACCAAGGGUUCCUGUCCAACGUUAAUCGGGGCAGGGUGAGUCGACCCCUAAGGCGAGGCCGAAAGGCGUAGUCGAUGGGAAACGGGUUAAUAUUCCCGUACUUGGUGUUACUGCGAAGGGGGGACGGAGAAGGCUAUGUUGGCCGGGCGACGGUUGUCCCGGUUUAAGCGUGUAGGUGUGUGUUCCAGGUAAAUCCGGUUCACUUUAACACUGAGGCGUGACGACGAGGCACUACGGUGCUGAAGCAACAAAUGCCCUGCUUCCAGGAAAAGCCUCUAAGCAUCAGGUAACAUCAAAUCGUACCCCAAACCGACACAGGUGGUCAGGUAGAGAAUACCAAGGCGCUUGAGAGAACUCGGGUGAAGGAACUAGGCAAAAUGGUGCCGUAACUUCGGGAGAAGGCACGCUGACACGUAGGUGAAGUGAUUUACUCAUGGAGCUGAAGUCAGUCGAAGAUACCAGCUGGCUGCAACUGUUUAUUAAAAACACAGCACUGUGCAAACACGAAAGUGGACGUAUACGGUGUGACGCCUGCCCGGUGCCGGAAGGUUAAUUGAUGGGGUCAGCGCAAGCGAAGCUCCUGAUCGAAGCCCCGGUAAACGGCGGCCGUAACUAUAACGGUCCUAAGGUAGCGAAAUUCCUUGUCGGGUAAGUUCCGACCUGCACGAAUGGCGUAAUGAUGGCCAGGCUGUCUCCACCCGAGACUCAGUGAAAUUGAACUCGCUGUGAAGAUGCAGUGUACCCGCGGCAAGACGGAAAGACCCCGUGAACCUUUACUAUAGCUUGACACUGAACAUUGAGCCUUGAUGUGUAGGAUAGGUGGGAGGCUUUGAAGUGUGGACGCCAGUCUGCAUGGAGCCGACCUUGAAAUACCACCCUUUAAUGUUUGAUGUUCUAACGUGGACCCGUAAUCCGGGUUGCGGACAGUGUCUGGUGGGUAGUUUGACUGGGGCGGUCUCCUCCUAAAGAGUAACGGAGGAGCACGAAGGUUGGCUAAUCCUGGUCGGACAUCAGGAGGUUAGUGCAAUGGCAUAAGCCAGCUUGACUGCGAGCGUGACGGCGCGAGCAGGUGCGAAAGCAGGUCAUAGUGAUCCGGUGGUUCUGAAUGGAAGGGCCAUCGCUCAACGGAUAAAAGGUACUCCGGGGAUAACAGGCUGAUACCGCCCAAGAGUUCAUAUCGACGGCGGUGUUUGGCACCUCGAUGUCGGCUCAUCACAUCCUGGGGCUGAAGUAGGUCCCAAGGGUAUGGCUGUUCGCCAUUUAAAGUGGUACGCGAGCUGGGUUUAGAACGUCGUGAGACAGUUCGGUCCCUAUCUGCCGUGGGCGCUGGAGAACUGAGGGGGGCUGCUCCUAGUACGAGAGGACCGGAGUGGACGCAUCACUGGUGUUCGGGUUGUCAUGCCAAUGGCACUGCCCGGUAGCUAAAUGCGGAAGAGAUAAGUGCUGAAAGCAUCUAAGCACGAAACUUGCCCCGA